rnacentral:rRNA from 1 species
GACGAACGCUGGCGGCGUGCUUAACACAUGCAAGUCGAACGGAAAGGCCCUGCUUUUGUGGGGUGCUCGAGUGGCGAACGGGUGAGUAACACGUGAGUAACCUGCCCUUGACUUUGGGAUAGCUUCAGGAAACUGGGGCUAAUACCGGAUAGGAGCUCCUGCUGCAUGGUGGGGGUUGGAAAGUUUCGGCGGUUGGGGAUGGACUCGCGGCUUAUCAGCUUGUUGGUGGGGUAGUGGCUUACCAAGGCUUUGACGGGUAGCCGGCCUGAGAGGGUGACCGGCCCCAUUGGGACUGAGAUACGGCCCAGACUCCUACGGGAGGCAGCAGUGGGGAAUAUUGCACAAUGGGCGGAAGCCUGAUGCAGCAACGCCGCGUGCGGGAUGACGGCCUUCGGGUUGUAAACCGCUUUCGCCUGUGACGAAGCGUGAGUGACGGUAAUGGGUAAAGAAGCACCGGCUAACUACGUG